UACGUAGGGGGCAAGCGUUGUCCGGAAUCAUUGGGCGUAAAGCGCGUGUAGGCGGCUCGGUAAGUCUGCUGUGAAAGUCCAGGGCUCAACCCUGGGAUGCCGGUGGAUACUGUCGAGCUCGAGUCCGGAAGAGGCGAGUGGAAUUCCUGGUGUAGCGGUGAAAUGCGCAGAUAAUCGAGGAAGAACACCCGGUGGCGAAGGCGGCUCUCUGGGACGGUACCGACGCUGAGACGCGAAGCGUGGGAGCGAACAGG
rnacentral:rRNA from 1 species